GCAGGAGCCAAUGAGGAAGUCCAUUGGUUAAGUCAAAACACCUUGGUCUCAGGUGCCCUUCUCGGCUUGGGAGCUGUAAGAUGGAGGCUUCUUCAUCACAGGGAUGGCUGUGGAGCCAGCAUUCAUCCCAUUUUAGCCGUCCUAUGCUGCAGUUUUCCGGAUCUGUAAUCCGUGAUCCCCAAGUUCCGUGAGUCGUCCGUGGAGCCGACUUCUGAUCUGCUGUCAGUAGGCGGUGGGCUGCAAUCCGUCCGCAAUUUCCAUCCGUUUCCGUGAUUUUCUGCUUCGGUCCUUUCGUUUUGCGGCCAUAAUAGGCUCUGCCAGGACGAUGUGAGCAAAUGCUGCAAGAAAAGGCUGACCCCUCGGUGCCAGUGUGCACAAGACCGGUCCGGAAUGCGCGGUUUCAGUUUGUUUCGCGUCCGCUAUGCUCAGCUCGCCCUCGUUUCUAAACGCUGAAAGUUCUUUCGAUUUCUUUCGUUUGUGGAGAUCGCUCUGACUGCGGUCGCACGUUUUCAGUCAGGCAAGUGUAUGUAGCUAUGGCCUCCCGUGCAUUUGCCAAUGCCUGCCUGACAGCAGCUCACUGGCCCCUCCGGGGAUAGUACAGCCCCGCAUUCCUGGGAAAGUUUAUGGUUAAUCGGCCUAUCUGCUUGUUCAAGCUCGUGGAUGAGCACAGAAGGAGACGGGGCCAAAGAAGAGGUCCUAGCUAGAAGCCUAAAUCCUUCUAGAAGCAGAUCUACAGCAGAGCUGCAGGCCGGCCUCUUCUUCGGGCCUCUUCUUCACUUCAGGGGACGCUGCCCAGCCCUUCACCUCCAAGCGAUUUGUAGCCGGCACUUUUGGUUUUCCCCGCCCGCUUUCGGCAAACCUCCGCAAUUCGUUCUCCUAGCGAGCCAAGAUAUGUUCAUAUCUCAGCAGCCCUGGACUGAAAUUCAACGGUGAUUUCAAACCGCAAACAGGAUUUUGUUCCAUGGUGGUUUUAUUUACCCCCUGAAUCAGGCUCUGCCAGGCAUAUUCGAAAACUCCUCCGAUUUCUUUCAUUUACCGAUUUUGUUCAGAGUUCCGUCCGGCAAACGAACUUUUUAAGCCAAACAAGUUAACCAAUUCAUCAGACCCGGCCCCUCCACCACCAGGAAGACUACAAAUAAAAGACUGAUGGAUACCACUAGAAGGGCAAUACUAAUACAGCUUUUCCCGGAUUGUUAACAGAGAGCCCAAAUGGUUUGCUUCUGCAAGAUGAUCUGAAAAAGUCAGUCCCUAUCAUCAAGAGAGAAACUGAUCCUCAAGAGAGAGAGAUGUUUGUUCCUGCUCCAAGACACAAAUAAGAAGUUGGCCCUUUUGACAUGAAGAAUUUGAAGACAACUGUCCUAAUGGGAUUUAAUCCUUUCUUUUUAUUGUUUCCUUUGGAUUUUUGAGGCAGAGUCUCUAUAUAGCCCUGUCUGUCUCACUCUCACUACUUAGCCAAGGCUUGUCUAGAACUCUGAGAGAUCCACAUGGUUAAAGGGUGAGCCACCACACCUGGCUUUAUUUAUGCAUUUAGUAUAUUUGUAUGGGAAAGCAAGUGCCAUAGCCAGAGUGUAGAAGUCAGAGGGUGAUUUCCAAACCUAGGUCUUCAGAAUUGGCUGCAGGUACCUUUACUGAAUAAAACUCCUUGCUAUCUCUGCUUUCACAAAUGCACUAAUUCAGAGUUAUUGCUGAAAAAAAAUCCCCAAAGUCAAAAUCAUAGUUAUAAAACUAGAAUAGUGGCCUUUGUCUAAAUUAGUGGCAUUUUUAUUGAUAUGCAUUCAUUAACUUGUUUUAUUCAACUUAAAAAACAUGCUUAAGCCCACAAUAAUCUUUGAAUUCUGUCUUCUUCUAUUAUACCAUUAAAAUGCAGGCUGUUAUGUUUG